CCUACGGGGGGCAGCAGUGAGGAAUAUUGGUCAAUGGCCGGAAGGCUGAACCAGCCAAGCCGCGUGAGGGAGGAAGGCGCAGAGCGUCGCAGACCUCUUUUGCCGGGGGACAAAAGGCCGGACUCGUCCGGUCCUGAGGGUACCUGGAGAAAAAGCAUCGGCUAACUCCGUGCCAGCAGCCGCGGUAAUCCGGAGGAUGCGAGCGUUAUCCGGGUUCAUUGGGUUUAAAGGGUGCGUAGGGGGGCCUUUAAGCCGGCGUGGAAAUCGCGGGGCUCACCCCCGCAGAGCCGUUGGAACUGGGGGCCUUGAGUGCGGCGGAGGCAUGCGGAAUGCGUGGUGUAGCGGUGAAAUGCAUAGAUAUCGCGCAGAACCCCGAUUGCGAAGGCAGCGUGCCGUUCCGCCACUGACGCUGAGGCACGAAAGCGCGGGGAUCGAACAGGAUUAGAUACCCUUGUAGUC
rnacentral:rRNA from 1 species